UACGUAGGGCGCAAGCGUUUAUCCGGAAUUAUUGGGCGUAAAGAGCUCGUAGGCGGUUUGUCGCGUCUGCCGUGAAAGUCCGGGGCUCAACUCCGGAUCUGCGGUGGGUACGGGCAGACUAGAGUGUGGUAGGGGAGAUCGGAAUUCCUGGUGUAGCGGUGAAAUGCGCAGAUAUCAGGAGGAACACCGUGGCGAAGGCGGGCACCUGGGCCGAACUGCGCUUGGAGGAGCGAAAGCUGGGGGAGCAAACAGG
rnacentral:rRNA from 1 species